rfam:Schistosoma rodhaini strain Burundi genome assembly, scaffold: SROB_scaffold0013284
AUCCAGCUGACGAGUCCCAAAUAGGACGAAACAAGCGUCCUGGAU